rnacentral:rRNA from 1 species
UACGGAGGGGGCUAGCGUUGUUCGGAAUUACUGGGCGUAAAGCGCACGUAGGCGGCUUUGUAAGUUAGAGGUGAAAGCCCAGGGCUCAACCCUGGAAUUGCCUUUAAGACUGCAUCGCUAGAAUUGUGGAGAGGUAAGUGGAAUUCCGAGUGUAGAGGUGAAAUUCGUAGAUAUUCGGAAGAACACCAGUGGCGAAGGCGGCUUCCUGGCCUGUUCUUGACGCUGAGGCGCGAAAGCGUGGGGAGCAAACAGG